CAAAUACUCCCUCCGUCCGGAAAUUCUUGUCAUCAAAAUGGAUAAAAGGAAAUGUAUCUAGACAUAUUUUAGUUUUAAAUACAUCUCUUUUUAACCAUUUUGAUGACAAGUAUUUUCGGAAUGAGGGAGUAGAAA
rfam:Triticum aestivum genome assembly, contig: Triticum_aestivum_CS42_TGACv1_scaffold_513973_6BS